GGGGCUGAUUCUGGAUUCGACGGGAUUUGCGAAACCCAAGGUGCAUGCCGAGGGGCGGUUGGCCUCGUAAAAAGCCGCAAAAAAUAGUCGCGCUUAGAGCCCUCUCUCCCUAGCCUCCGCUCUUAGGACGGGGAUCAAGAGAGGUCAAACCCAAAAGAGAUCGCGUGGAAGCCCUGCCUGGGGUUGAAGCGUUAAAACUUAAUCAGGCUAGUUUGUUAGUGGCGUGUCCGUCCGCAGCUGGCAAGCGAAUGUAAAGACUGACUAAGCAUGUAGUACCGAGGAUGUAGGAAUUUCGGACGCGGGUUCAACUCCCGCCAGCUCCACCA
rnacentral:tmRNA from 1 species